GUGACUGCUGUAGAAAGUAAACUUGGAAUUGAUAGUACAAAAAUAGAACAUAGGCCUGAUUACAUUGUUCAUACACUUUUAUCCGUGAUUGGCUAUUUUGUAACUAUUUUAAAUGUGAAGUUGAAUUAGUUUUGAAAAUAAUAUUAUCCAGCUACAUGUAUACAUGUGUCAAUGAAACAACGGCAAUCGUAUCCCUCAGAGCAAUCUGCUCUUUGAUUAUUGGUUGUUAUUUG
rnacentral:lncRNA from 1 species